rnacentral:rRNA from 1 species
CCGAUGGCGACCGGCGCACGGGUGAGUAACACGUAUCCAACCUGCCGAUGACUCGGGGAUAGCCUUUCGAAAGAAAGAUUAAUACCCGAUGGCAUAGUUCUUCCGCAUGGUAGAACUAUUAAAGAAUUCCGGUCAUCGAUGGGGAUGCGUUCCAUUAGGUUGUUGGCGGGGUAACGGCCCACCAAGCCUUCGAUGGAUAGGGGUUCUGAGAGGAAGGUCCCCCACAUUGGAACUGAGACACGGUCCAA